CGGGGACCCCCCAGGGCUGGGACAACUCGGGAACCAGGACGCAGGAUGCAAGGGGAAGGAGAGCGUGCGAGUGCCGCCCGGGCAGCACGCAGAGCUCGCACGGUGGGAGCAAAGCACCGAGCACCUCGCCAUCCCCACCGGCCGACGACUCCUACGAAGACACCGAACCCCUCGGACCAGGGGGACGCGGCAGCCCCGGCGGCGCCGACACCGACAGCAGCCACUACGAGUCGUACGGGGAGGACGAGGACGGCGUGCCGGACCGUGCCCAGGACCGUGCCCACUACCUGCGGUGGCCACCGGCCACCGGCCCCCCCCCGGCCGAGCCCCCCGGCCGCCCCGAGGCUCAGCUCUGCGGCUUCCUCUGGAGGAAACGCUGGCUGGGGCGCUGGGCCAAGCAGCU